rnacentral:rRNA from 1 species
GUGGGGAAUUUUGGACAAUGGGCGAAAGCCUGAUCCAGCCAUGCCGCGUGCAGGAUGAAGGCCUUCGGGUUGUAAACUGCUUUUGUACGGAACGAAAAGACUCCUUCUAAUAAAGGGGGUCCAUGACGGUACCGUAAGAAUAAGCACCGGCUAACUACGUGCCAGCAGCCGCGGUAAUACGUAGGGUGCAAGCGUUAAUCGGAAUUACUGGGCGUAAAGCGUGCGCAGGCGGUUAUAUACGACAGAUGUGAAAUCCCCGGGCUCAACCUGGGAACUGCAUUUGUGACUGUAUAGCUAGAGUACGGUAGAGGGGGAUGGAAUUCCGCGUGUAGCAGUGAAAUGCGUAGAUAUGCGGAGGAACACCGAUGGCGAAGGCAAUCCCCUGGACCUGUACUGACGCUCAUGCACGAAAGCGUGGGGAGCAAACAGGAUUAGAUACCCCGGUAGUCC